UGUGACGGGCUGGGGGUGCCGAGCAGCUGCAGGUGGCGGCGCCGCGUUGUGUUUACAUCGUGCGGAAAGGAGCGCGAUGCGGAACCGCGGGGUUUGGGCUUUUCCGUGAAAAGGGCGAGAGCGGCCGCCUGGGCCGGAGGACUGGGAAGCGCUGCGCACCCAAACUUCGUUAAAAUAAAGCAUUCGGGAUAAAGACGGAGGCAGAAGAGCGGCCGGCUGUCCCCGAGCGGUCCCCGUUGGGUUUGCGUCGCCCAAGAAGCCCUGGCGCUCUGCGGCGCCUUAGAGCGGGCAGCAAAGCCGGAGCAGCCCGGUUCGAACAGGCCAUAGUAAAGAACAGUGCCUGCUGCUACAGAGCUGCACAUUCACGGAAGGGUUUUAAAACACACGCAGGGAUUUAGCUUUUGUUCUUCAUUGUGAGACUGAGAGCUUCACACAAAAAGAUGAAGAGAUUUGUAUGAAUGAUUGGAUUGGGAAGAGGAAUUUCCUCCUGCAGAGAAAGAGCCCUCAGGAUGUAUUUCUUUCAGCAGUCAGAAUUAUGCACUAUCUAGCUGGAGUUUUGUCUUCCCUCACCCUCCUGUGUUCUCAGCAGUCACUGGCAGCAGACCUUGGAUUCCCGUUCAGUUGGGUUGUAUGCAACGUUGCAGAAAUCAUAGAGGAGAUUCUUUUAGAAAUACAGAAAUCAAAACUGCCAGGAAAAAGGAGCCUGGUGGUGCCUUUCAGAAAAAGAAUAAAACAAGCAGAGGGAUUCUAAAUAGGCAAAGGAUAUCUUUAAAUAUUUGGAAUUGCUUAUUGAGCACAUAAAGCUGUAGAGGCCAUACAGUCCUAGGGCAAUGACAGCACAAUGGCUUGGAUAUUGAUGGCCUGAAAGUCCUCCUGAUCUAUGAAAUAUUACGCUAUUAUGUUCCUCUACUUCCUAUACAUGAAUUUUUGCAUGUAAAAAUAUUGGGUUUUUUUUCUAUUGGGAUAUGUUAAAUAAAGUUGUGCAUUUGGCUCGUCA
rnacentral:lncRNA from 1 species